rnacentral:rRNA from 1 species
AACGCGAAGAACCUUACCUGGUCUUGACAUCCACGGAACUUUCCAGAGAUGAGAAUGUGCCUUCGGGAACCGUGAGACAGGUGCUGCAUGGCUGUCGUCAGCUCGUGUUGUGAAAUGUUGGGUUAAGUCCCGCAACGAGCGCAACCCUUAUCCUUUGUUGCCAGCGGUCCGGCCGGGAACUCAAAGGAGACUGCCAGUGAUAAACUGGAGGAAGGUGGGGAUGACGUCAAGUCAUCAUGGCCCUUACGACCAGGGCUACACACGUGCUACAAUGGCGCAUACAAAGAGAAGCGACCUCGCGAGAGCAAGCGGACCUCAUAAAGUGCGUCGUAGUCCGGAUUGGAGUCUGCAACUCGACUCCAUGAAGUCGGAAUCGCUAGUAAUCGUGGAUCAGAAUGCCACGGUGAAUACGUUCCCGGGUCUUGUACACACGC